GUGGUUGUAGCUCAGUUGGAAGAGUGCAAGAUUGUGGCUCUUGCGGUCGUGAGAUCGAAACUCACCAACCACA